rnacentral:rRNA from 1 species
GAUGAACGCUAGCUGGAGGCUUAAUACAUGCAAGUCGAGCGGGAUUGGUAGCAAUACCAUGAGAGCGGCGCACGGGUGAGUAACGCGUACACGACCUACCUCUGACAGGGGGAUAGCCCUGGGAAACUGGGAUUAAUACCGCAUAUUAUUCUGAUUAAUAAAGGAUUGGAAUGAAAGUUCAGGCGGUCAGAGAUGGGUGUGCGUCUGAUUAGCUAGUUGGUGGGGUAACGGCCUACCAAGGCGAUGAUCAGUAGGGGGCGUGAGAGCGUGGUCCCCCACACGGGUACUGAGACACGGACCCGACUCCUACGGGAGGCAGCAGUAAGGAAUAUUGGACAAUGGCCGCAAGGCUGAUCCAGCCAUCCAGCGUGCAGGAAGAAGGCCCUAUGGGUUGUAAACUGCUUUUAUCAGGGAAGAAACCUCUGGAUUUACUCCGGAGCUGACGGUACCUGAAGAAUAAGCACCGGCUAACUCCGUGCCAGCCGCCGCAGUAAAAC